rnacentral:rRNA from 1 species
GAACGCUAGCGGGAGGCUUAACACAUGCAAGUCGAGGGGCAGCAUGAUCUGCUUGCAGAUUGAUGGCGACCGGCGGACGGGUGCGUAACGCGUAUGCAACCUACCUAUUACUAAGGGAUAGUCUUUGGAAACGAAGCAUAAUACCUUAUAGUCUAUUGGGAUUGCAUAAUUUUGAUAGUAAAGGAUACGGUAAUAGAUGGGCAUGCGUCCAAUUAGCUAGUUGGUAAGGUAACGGCUUACCAAGGCGAUGAUUGGUAGGGGGCCUGAGAGGGUGAACCCCCACACUGGUACUGAGACACGGACCAGACUCCUACGGGAGGCAGCAGUGAGGAAUAUUGGUCAAUGGGCGCAAGCCUGAACCAGCCAUCCCGCGUGCAGGAAGACGGCCUUAUGGGUUGUAAACUGCUUUUGUACAGGAAGAAACGUACCUACGUGUAGGUAUUUGACGGUACUGUAUGAAUAAGCACCGGCUAACUCCGUGCCAGCAGCCGCGGUAAU